AACGCAAGUUGCGCCCGAAGCCAUUAGGCUGAGGGCACGUCUGCCUGGGCGUCACGCAUCGUCGCCACCUCCCCCUCUUUCUCUGAUCGAGUCGGGGGCGGCGGAAUUUGGCCUCCCGUGCUCUACCGAGCGAGGCCGGCCUAAAUAAGAGUCCUCCCCUCGGGACGUCACGACUUGUGGUGGUUGAAAAACUCAACUCGAUCGGGGUCGUGUCUCAACCCGUCGCGGAGCGUCCUCCGAGACCCUGGAGCCUUAAGGCCCUCGACAAUGACCCCAGGUCAGGCGGGAUUACCCGCUGAGUUUAA
rnacentral:misc_RNA from 1 species